UCCCACCUAUUAUCCUGCGUUACAUUACGAACACCCGUGACAUCCUAGAACAUUCCUGCAUCUCACUCAAUCCUAUUCCAUUAUCAUUUAUAGCACAAUUGUUUAUACACUUAUUUAUUUGCCAAUUUGUACAUUUUUUUUAUUAUUUUUUUUGUCUGUGUGUUGUUGUCUCUGUGUACUGGAAGCUUACGUCACUAAAACAAAUUCCUUGUAUGCGUAAGCAUACUUGGCAAUAAAGCUCUUUCUGAUUCUGAUUCACUUAUCACGAGAUCUCGUCAUUCUCCUGAAGGCUGUUGAAGAGAGAAGAAGGUAGUCAGCUAUUCUAGUCAGUUUCUCCUCAAAGUUUGGACAUUUGACUAGAAUACAACUUUGGUAAGUAAAAUAUUCGUAUUUAUUGGCUUAAUGUGUAAAAUUACAUCUGUUGUCUCAGAAGAGUAAGUAUGGUUUAAAAAGUCGUAUAUUCUGUAUGUAAGUUACUGUAUGUAAAUGUUCAUUUCUUGGCACUCUGAAGCCUCAAAAUACAGGCGGUUCCACAGUAUUUUCCUUAUAAAUAUUAAAACAGAUAUUCUCCCAUGCGGGACAGUGGAGCUGAACGAAUGUGGAUGUAAGGACGAAAGAACCUGAGAUACUUAGAUCUCCUGAGAAACAGACAAUACUAACAUAAACGGGCAUCUUGAGACACCCCACAGAGUGGAGGAGCAGGAGACCUCCUCCCCUUCUGGCCAUUUGUUUCAUUUUAAGUCCCUUCACCCAUUCUUCCUACUACUCAGUCUGCUCAAAAUGAUUACAUGAAAAUGUCAAUGCAAGUGAACUAACACUCAUGUCUAGUAUCAUUGGAAAUGCCUCAGUGCAACUGGUACAAUGGUCUCAAUCUUACAAAAGUAGAUUAGAAGAUAAUACAGAUCUGAAGAGUCAAGAGAUAUCUUGAUUACUGUGAUGGGAGUGCCCUUACCUUGGGCAUUUACCUUGAGUUGUAAAACCACCCAGGCUUGGGACCUGAGGUAAUGCAAAUUCCAAUUGUUAGUUUCUGUCUCCAUCUCGGGGGAUGUUUGUCUUGGUCUGAGGUAUUUAAAGGAUUGCAGCAAAAGGAUCAGGGCGAUUUCUGUAGCCAGAAAGCCCGUAGUGUGUUGUGUGUCUCUUCACUUCAUACUAAGUAUUUUCUAUAAGGUCAGGUAUGCAAAUUUUGCUUUUAAAUUCAUCUUUGAGAAUUUGAUGUUUUGUAUUGAUAUGAUUGAUGUGUUUCAAUUGGAUGUGUAAUUGGCAAAAUACAUAUCUACCUGACUGUUAAUAAAUUGUUACAUUUUGAUUCUAUUCUGUUUUACUCUGUAAUUAUUGACUAGUAGAUUACAUUGUAUCCUUGUUAGCAACAUGCGCACCCGAAUGAAUGAGUUAAUAUAAAAAUAGAGUUAACUAGAAUAAUCAAAUGUCAGAAGAAUAUUAAUUUAAAAGGCAUACAACCAAUUUGCAUUUCAACCUAAAUUCGAGAUCAUAAGAAAAUGGAGUCAGAUUAAAUAAAUAAUGGAGUCAGAUUUGAGUUUUAACCUAAAUUAAAUAACUCUACGCGCUGAAAGACAGAACACGCAGGAAACCUUCAUCCAGCACCGGAUAACUUCCUUGGGCCGAGUGCCUGGACCUUAUAUGGAGAACGAUAAAACUACAGUUUGAAUGUAUUAUUUGAGCCCAGGGCUGCGUUAGGGACCGUUCAAACAGAGCGCGAGAGCGCAACGGAUCACUGUAUGGAUUAAGAACGGCGGGAAUAAAAAAAAAAAGACCUGCUCUAAACCUGACAGCGUAAAACUUCCGUCUGAAUACACAUCGAUUAAAAAUUAGUGAAAAAAAGAAGAUUACUACUCGAACUGUGUCUUUUCUGCAUGUUAUAAGGGAAACGAAUGAGCACCAUAGAUGAGCACCUCCCUCAGAGUUCUUCUGGAGCGCGUAACUUAACGUUACAUUUGAUAUCGCUGACAUAAGCUUAGUUCUAAUGAUCUUUUUCUUUUUACAGUCUACGGUUCAGAUGAAGUUCUGAAGGUAGCGUUACAAACUCUUCUUUCCGUUUUCUGAAGUAACGUUAGCCAUUCAAGUGCCUCACUAGAACCCAGAACCCAGUGUAAUGCUGCGUGAAUAUCUGUUUUUAUACAGUCUAUGGUGAAUAUACGGUCAUAAGUAAAUUGCAUACGUUCAAAUCUAUAUAUUUUAGAAGUAAAAGUAAUAAUAGCAUAUAUCUUGUAUAAAUAGAGAUACAAUAACGAUCGACACAAAUUUGCUAAAUUUCCUUUUAUUGUGUUAUAAUUAUGUGUUGUGUCAUUUAAAAGCAUCGUCUGGAUGGUAUAGUUUGUCUUUGGCAUUUAAUACAAACUUGUCAAUACAUUUGACUUUCUCUGUAAAGAUUUAUUUAUAUAUCUAUGUUUAUUAUUUUACAGUGUUUUAACAUGUUUUUGUAUUUUUCAUGUUUAUGAUAUUUUUGGAUGACUGAGGAUUCAGCGCAGAAUUCAAUAAUCCUGUGGAUGGACCGCAGCGAGUCCUUUUGCAGUUGUUUCCAUCAAAAUGAUAUGCAGACAUAAUGUAAAUGGAAUUUACAUUGUAGAGCUUGGACAAAGUUCACACAGGCUCUGCGCAGGAAUUCAUCAAGGACAUGACUGCUGGCAUUACGCUUGUGGAUGACCAAUCUGAGUACCAUCAGUCUGCAGUGCUGUGGUUCAGCCAUCCGGUGACAUUAAGGAUGUUGAGAAAGAAAUUGAAGAGGGCAUUCUGAUUGUAACUGAAGAACAGCAAUGUGAUGUGCUUCCCAAGGAAUAACCAACAUUGGUCUCAUUUGGACAUCCUGUCAUCACUGACAUCUCCCAUGUGCCCAAGGCAUUUGGACUCCUAAUGGGUCUGUAUGCAGUGAACAUCCACUACCUCCAGCGCAUUAAAUACACCAUUGAGGCUCUGCAAAAACUUGUGAAGAUCUGCUGCUCCCACCAUGUGCUCGCUACAGCGGCAGUAACUGUAGGUGUGGGGGAGUGAAUGUCCAGCGCUCUCUUCACCCUCAACACCACAAAUAAGGUGUCCUUGAGGAAGGCACAACUUCUCCCCGGGCGCUGAAGCAUAAAUGGCUGCCCACUGCUCUGGGUGUGUGUUCACUUUGUGUGUUCACUGCCGUGUGUGUGCACUUUGGAUGGGUUAAAUGAAGAGCACAAAUGUAUGUCAUGUCACUUUCACUUUUCAGUGUUCAUGAUGUGUCCAUCGGCUCCACCGCACUCUUUCUUAAAAAGUAGUGUGUUUUUUUUUUCUUUUUUUUCUUUUGUUCCUUUCACUACAUUUUAGAAAUGUACAUUAAAGUUUAUCAUGUCAUGACUUGGAAUAUGCAUGUUCUCAUGUAAACAAAUGUUGUUUCACCUCUCAUUUUCUUAAACAGUAUGUACAAAUUUUUAGUAUGUAGCAUUAUGAUGGGGGACGAGUUUGGAAACUUUCAAGAUCCUUCUGAUGUAAACACUUCUGUCUGGUCAUGUUGUGCUAUGAAAUUUAGAAUCUGACUUUAGAUCUUUGUGCUUCCAUGUGCAUUCAUUCCAUUUAUAUCUUAUUAUACAGAAGUACAGGGUUAAUAUGCAGAGUUCAACCUUCUGAUUUUCAUAUUGAGUUAUGAAAUUAAAAACAAUCCCUGUGGUUUUGAUCUGAUGAAUUGAAAUACAACUAUUUGUUUCUCAAUCCCAUGCCAAUGUUAUUUAUUAUACAUCACAAGUGUCGGUUCAGAUCUUCAGGCAUGUGUUUGUAUUUUGCAUUUUUUGUUUUGUUUAUCAAUUAUCAGUUGAUGUGUUGACAGCAAAUUGCUUGUUCAAUUUAAAUGUGAAUGUGUUGUCUCUAUCAUUAAAUAAAUUACAUUAAAAAAGUG